CUGAUUGGAUGAUGAUGCCCCAGAGUUCGGAAAAUGGCAAAGUCUCUGCCCAUGAAGUCUGCUGCUGUGCCAGAGUACAAUUCUCCAUCUGUGGGAGGAUGUAGUUGUAAGCAACAUUUCUCAAUUUUCCAGUCAUGCUUCUCCAGCUUUCAGUAUACCUACUCCAGUGCCUGCAAUUUCAAUGGGUUUGCUUUGAUUUCCAGCAGGAGCAAGCCAAAGACCACCUUUGGGACUGAAAAUGGGGGAAGAGGAAUUAUUUUUCCCAUGUACUGAACAGAAGCCAUAUGGAACUGUAUGACUCUCCCCAACAUCUCCCCAAGUUCAUUAGAUGCUAGUAUGUUAAAAGCUGAAGAGUAUACAU